rnacentral:rRNA from 1 species
UCAGCCGCCGCGGUAAUACCAGCUCUCCGAGUGGUGUGGACGUUUAUUGGGCCUAAAGCAUCCGUAGCUGGCUGAACAAGUCCCCUGUUAAACCCACCGAUUUAAUCGUUGGCGUGCGGGGGAUACUGCUUGGCUAGGGGACGAGAGAGGCAGACGGUAUUCCCGGGGUAGGGGUGAAAUCCUAUAAUCCCGAGAAGACCACCAGUGGCGAAGGCUGUCUGCUAGAACGCGCCCGACGGUGAGGGAUGAAGGCUGGGGGAGCGAACCGGAUUAGAUACCCGGGUAGUCCCAGCUGUAAACGAUGCAGACUAGGUGUUUGGACGGCCACGUGCCGUUCUAGUGCCGCAGGGAAGCUGUUAAGUCUGCCGCCUGGGGAGUACGAUCGCAAGGUUGAAACUUAAAGGAAUUGGCGGGGGAGCACA